CGGGACGGGUGAGUAACGCGUGGAUAACCUGCCUCACACUGGGGGAUAACAGUUAGAAAUGACUGCUAAUACCGCAUGAGCGCACAGUACCGCAUGGUACGGUGUGAAAAACUCCGGUGGUGUGAGAUGGAUCCGCGUCUGAUUAGCCAGUUGGCGGGGUAACGGCCCACCAAAGCGACGAUCGGUAGCCGACCUGAGAGGGUGACCGGCCACAUUGGGACUGAGACACGGCCCAA
rnacentral:rRNA from 1 species